GAUGAACGCUGGCGGCGUGCCUAAUACAUGCAAGUCGAGCGAACGGACGCGAAUCUUGCUUCUCUGUUGUUAGCGGCAGACGUGUGAGUAACAUGUGUAUCACCUACCUAUCUGUCUGGGAUAACUUCGGGAAACCGGCUCUAAUACCGUAUAAUCUUUUGAUCCGUAUGGUUCAUAAGUGAAAUUCGGUCUUUCUGUCACUUAUCGCUGCAUCCGCGCUGCAUUAGAUAGUUGUUAAGGUAACGGCUUACCACGGCGACGAUGCAUAGCCGACCUGAGAGGGUGAUAGGCCACACGGGAAGUGAGACACGGUCAAGACUACUAAGAGAGGCAGCAGAAGGGAAUGUGACGCAGUGGGCGAAAGCAUGACGGAGCAAGGGCGCGUGAGAGAUGAAGGUCUUGGGAGCGGAAAGAUCGGUUAUGAGGGAAGAACAGAUGUGGAAGGAGAUGUGGAGAGAGUGACGGUAACGAAUAAAGAAGCAACGGCUAACUACGUG
rnacentral:rRNA from 1 species